rnacentral:rRNA from 1 species
GUUAGAAUGAUUAAAGAAUUUCGGUAUGAGAUGGGCAUGCGUCCCAUUAGCUAGUUGGUGAGGUAACGGCUCACCAAGGCGACGAUGGGUAGGGGGCCUGAGAGGGUGGUCCCCCACACUGGUACUGAGACACGGACCAGACUCCUACGGGAGGCAGCAGUGAGGAAUAUUGGUCAAUGGAGGCAACUCUGAACCAGCCAUGCCGCGUGAGGGAUGACGGCCCUAUGGGUUGUAAACUUCUUUUAUAUGGGAAGAAACUUAUCUACGUGUAGAUAACUGACGGUACCAUACGAAUAAGGAUCGGCUAACUCCGUGCCAGCAGCCGCGGUAAUACGGAGGAUCCAAGCGUUAUCCGGAUUCAUUGGGUUUAAAGGGUCCGUAGGCGGAUUUUUAAGUCAGUGGUGAAAGCCGGCAGCUCAACUGUCGAACUGCCAUUGAUACUGGAAAUCUUGAGUACAAAUGAAGUAGGCGGAAUGAGUCAUGUAGCGGUGAAAUGCAUAGAUAUGACUCAGAACACCGAUUGCGAAGGCAGCUUACUAACAUGUAACUGACGCUGAGGGACGAAAGCGUGGGGAGCGAACAGGAUUAGAUACCCUGGUAGUCCACGCCGUAAACGAUCAUCACUCGCUGUUGGCGAUAUACUGUCAGCGGCCAAGCGAAAGUAUUAAGUGAUGCACCUGGGGAGUACGCCGGCAACGGUGAAACUCAAAGGAAUUGACGGGGGCCCGCACAAGCGGUGGAGCAUGUGGUUUAAUUCGAUGAUACGCGAGGAACCUUACCAGGGCUUAAAUGUAGUAUGACCGGUCUGGAAACAGACCUUCCCUUCGGGGCAGAUUACAAGGUGCU